GCCAGACUCCUACGGGAGGCAGCAGUGGGGGAUAUUGCACAAUGGGGGGAACCCUGAUGCGGCGACGCCGCGUGGGUGAAGAAGCGCCUCGGCGCGUAAAGCCCUGUCAGCAGGGAAGAAAAUGACGGUACCCGAAGAAGAAGCCCCGGCUAACUACGUGCCAGCAGCCGCGGUAAUACGUAGGGGGCAAGCGUUAUCCGGAUUUACUGGGUGUAAAGGGGGCGCAGACGGCGAUGCAAGCCAGGAGUGAAAGCCCGGGGCCCAACCCCGGGACUGCUCUUGGAAAUGCGUGGCUAGAGUGCAGGAGGGGCAGGCGGAAUUCCUGGUGUAGCGGUGAAAUGCGCAGAUAUCAGGAAGAACACCGGUGGCGUAGGCGGCUUACUGGACGGCAACUGACGCUGAGGCUCGAAAGCGUGGGGAGCAAACAGGAUUAGAUACCCGGGUAA
rnacentral:rRNA from 1 species